CGCGUAGGUGGUUUGUUAAGUUGGAUGUGAAAGCCCCGGGCUCAACCUGGGAACUGCAUCCAAAACUGGCAAGCUAGAGUGCGGUAGAGGGUGGUGGAAUUUCCUGUGUAGCGGUGAAAUGCGUAGAUAUAGGAAGGAACACCAGUGGCGAAGGCGGCUCACUGGCCCGGUACUGACGCUGAGGCACGAAAGCUAGGGGAGCGAACA
rnacentral:rRNA from 1 species